UGCAUGCUGACUGAUGUCAUUCCUCGCUGGGAUUUCUAUAAAAGCUUGGAGGACGUUUUCUGAGAAUCCCUGUCAGAGAUGCCCUGGUUGUAUAGCAAGGAGUGCCUGCUGUCAACACCUCCUGCGAUCAGCUUCCUGUUUUGGUUUGAUGUUCAGUAUUGGAUUCAUAGAUGGAUUCUAUUUUGUUAUUACUACACAAACAGAUCCAAUAAGUAAG